CCUACGGGUGGCAGCAGUGAGGAAUAUUGGUCAAUGGACGAGAGUCUGAACCAGCCAAGUAGCGUGAAGGAUGACUGCCCUAUGGGUUUUAAGCUUCUUUUAUAAAGGAAUAAAACAAGGCACGUGUGCCUUUUUGCAUGUCCUUUAUGAAUAAGGCUCGGCUAACUCCGUGCCAGCAGCCACGGUAAUACGGAGGAUCCGAGCGUUAUCCGGAUUUAUUGGGUGUAAAGGGAGCGUAGAUGGGAUGUUAAGUCAGUUGUGAAAGUUUGCGGCUCAACCGCAAAAUUGCACUGGAUACUGGCAGGCUUGAGUACAGUUGAGGUAGGCGGAAUUCGUGGUGUAGCGGUGAAAUGCUUAGAUAUCACGAAGAACCCCGAUUGCGAAGGCAGCUUACUAAACUGUGACUGACAUUGAUGCUCGAAAGUGUGGGUAGCAAACAGGAUUAGAUACCCUUGUAGUC
rnacentral:rRNA from 1 species